CUCUCUUUUUUUCCCCUCUCUCUUACACUCUUUCUAAAAAUAAAUAGAAAAAUAACUUCUGGUGCGUAUUUUUUUAAAAAUCAAUAAAGUUUAACAUGAUUUUAUGUAUUGAAAAAAAUAGGCCUGCAGGUUUAUAAUGUUUGGGUAAUAUUUUUCAUUUAGCUCUCUUAAAAUAGUUCUUAGCAGAGUGCUUCGCACAAAGACUAACCUAAUAAAUACUGGUUCUUAAUUAUGGAUCUGUUUAUUGCCAUUUUAAUCUAGUCUUGAUUUUUAAGUAUAAAUUAAAGGCUUCUACAAAAUAUAUAUAUUUAGAACCACUAAUGAUCCUCCAUAAAUGCAACUGGAAGAUAAAUCAUCAGAGAAAUGUAUACUCUUCCCUUGGGUCUUUACAUAGCUCAUUUGUUAACAUCCCAUCUCAGUUGUUGCCAGUUCAGAGAGGCUAUUUUUCUUACCAUUCACAUCUGGCAAUCCUCAAACUUCUGCUCCCUCUUCCAGGUUAAGCUUGCAUAUCCUUCUGCCUUUUAAACCUUCUGAUUCUCCUACCCUCCCUCUCCCUGAAGAAUGAAUUCUUCAGUUCUCUACUCUUGAAUCCAUUAAUUCAAGCAGUUAAUCAUUUAGUAACUUACUUAAGGAGUAAUAGGACUAUCAUGCUGGUCCUCUCUCUACCUUCUUUUUAUCUUUGUAUCCUUAUUAUCAAAGUAUUUAAUUACUUGUUUAUCGUCUGGAUGAUCUACUGGUAGAUGAUCCUUUGUAGAUAAUGUUCACCUAGGUGUAUUAUCUUGUAAAGUUCUAAUCUCUAUCUCUACAGUAGGUCUGGGAUCUGAAAAGACUAGAGUUCUCUCUCAAGAUCGAGAUUGCAUAGUUACCCAGCUGAUUUUGGGAAACUUUUGAUUUUUGCCUAAUGCCUCUCUUAUCCUCAGUUACAAUAUAGUCAAGUUACUGGCUUAGGCAAUACCUUUGGAACUGCUUUUCUCAGUCCCACCUAUUGGGUGAGAGCUUGAUUAAGGCCAAUCUCAAUAAGGCGUAAGACUUGACAAAAGCUAUUAAAGCUGUUAUUUCUAGCACCUGAACAAAACCUUGGUGAGGGUUUAAAAAAAUAAAAAUAGCAUUCUAGAGGACCUUUCAGCUAAAAAUGCUAAGUGAUAAUCAACUGAAAGUAUCAGACCAAAAACAAGGAUGCUG